AAGAUUCGGGUCUCGGCCCACCAUCAUCAGCUGUGCGCUUCGGCUGCACGCUGCAUGAACAACUUCACACCUGUGCACAUCUUCGGUGGCGGCGUCCGCGUCGCUUCCGCUUUACAUUUAACAACUGUUCAGAAUGUACAAACCAUAAACAAUA
rnacentral:misc_RNA from 1 species